rnacentral:rRNA from 1 species
AACCAGCACCUCAAGUUGUCAGGAGGAUUAUUGGGCCUAAAGCAUCCGUAGCCGGCUCUGUUAGUUUUCGGUUAAAUCCAUAUGCUCAACAUAUGGGCUGUCGAAAAUACUGCAGAGCUAGGGAAUGGGAGAGGUAGACGGUACUUGGUAGGAAGGGGUAAAAUCCUUUGAUCUAUCGAUGACCACCUGUGGCGAAGGCGGUCUACCAGAACAUGUUCGACGGUGAGGGAUGAAAGCUGGGGGAGCAAACCGG